GAGUAAAGAGCCCCUUCAGGACAGUAUAAUAGCUACCUAUGAAGAACAUGAAGAUAGUGUAUAUGCAGUUGAAUGGUCAUCAGCAGACCCGUGGCUAUUUGCCUCCUUAAGUUAUGAUGGGAGACUUGUUAUUAACAGGGUUCCCAGAGCUCUUAAAUAUCACAUACUGUUAUAAUUUAUUUGGAUUAUGGUGGAGUUAUCUUGAUGUACAGAGUUGGAGGGUGCAAUUUUGGAUUGGGAGCUUCAUCUCAAGGAUUCCUAUCACAGGAAAGACAUUGUGGAACUUGGAAUAAGAGCAACUUAAUUUUGCUGCCAGGCACAUAUGACAGCCUUACAAGCUGCCUAAGAUUCAUCAAAACUGGAGAGAGCAGUCAGUCUGCGGCACCUCUGACUUGGGAAUCAAAAUUCAGUUUUUCCUGCACUCCUGAGAUCUGCAGAACCCUGAUUUACCAUGAUCCACGUACUUACUUCCCUGCAUUUGGAAAACCAGUCUGGUCCCACCAUAGCCCAAUCUAUGCUAAUUCGGAAGGUGUUGCUGUGAGAAGCAGAGCCAAGUCUACAGCAGGGAAUGCCACCUCCCCUCACUGAUCCAAAAGGACUCCAGUUAGGGAUGGAAACAUAAAACAAGUUGACAUAUCCUGCUUUGCACAUAGUAUAACUCCCAAAAGUUAUACUGGAGCUCUUGAGAAAGAGUCAUAACUGAACUUUCAAUGAUGUGAGUAAACUCUGGUUCUAAUACAUAGCAAACAAUCUGAAACGUAGAUCAUCCAGGGAGAUAGCUGGCUUACAGCUGUCAGCCUUAAAGGAGAGGUUUGCUCCCCACUUGUUAAUUUGCUUAUGAGAUGAUGAAUGGGAAAGUUUUCUGUUUAAAAAAAAAAAAAAAAGGCUGCUUAAAUUUGAUUUCUUUUCAAGAUUGUUUUAAGCUUGUCUAAACUUUGCAAAAAAAGGGUGUGAGAAAAUUCUGACCCAUAUCACCAUUCUGAUAUGUUUUCCACAGUAUUAUGUGGAACCAAAACAUUCCUAGUAAAUGAAAGCAAGAUUUUGAAUUUUCAGUUUUCCUAUAAAACAUAAAAUUUAGAAUUCUCAAACUUGAAAGAAUUUAAAUCAAACUCUUAAUUUUUAAUUAGUUAAAAUAAUGCAGCGCAAUUGCUAUUAGGGCAAUAUGUAAGAACCCUAAUCAUGCAUCUGGCUUCCUGCGUAUUGUACCUCCGUUUAAAAAUAAAACCUUCAUUAAAGAGCUUACGUUGUUUUAU
rnacentral:lncRNA from 1 species